UUGGAUGAAACUGGACAUUUCACUGACUUCCAUUCCUUGUAGGUUUACAAUGAAAACACCUUUAGAUAACAGAGAGAGCACAUCCCAGUGGUUGCUGCUGGCCUACACAGCGUGGUCUAUUCGUGGCCUAUAAAAAACCGUAAUGCUAAUCCUUUAAGAGCAAAUUGGAAUGCCAAUGAGUGUUGAGUGACCUGUGGAGGUCAUAGGCAAGUGCUAUAUUUACCGUCUCUGUAACSUGAUCUCUGGCAUUCUGGAUCACUGUGCUCAUACAAUCCCUCCCUGGCUCCUCUCACUCUGGGGCCACAGCCUCCUAUGCAGCACCCUACCCUGCCUGUCCGCUUGAUACGCCACCGGUCUGAUCAGUGAGAAGUCCCUGUYACUGUGAAUGUGUCUGUCAGGUACAUUAGGAUGAGCGGGCCCCACUCUAUCGCUGCCUGCGGGGACUGAGAGACACCGCUCUAUACACAGCAGUCGAUGCGGUCUUCCACCGCAUCACCCGUGGCUGAGAAUCCAGCAUGUCUCGCGUCUCCACCACCGCCAAGCGUUACACCGGCUCCUCCUAUACCGGCUCCUCCUAUACCAGUGCCUAUAGCUCCUAUGGCUCCUCCCUGACGCCCUCCUCCCUCAGCUCCUACACCUCCGACCGGGACAGGCUGCCCUCCUACAGGAGCAAUGCUGCCUCCUCCUCGGGGCUACUCCUCCUCCAGCUACCUGAGCAGCG